rnacentral:lncRNA from 1 species
UCAAAUGCACCUUUAUAGAAAAUAUCACUUUAAAAUUUUUUCAAAGACAGAAGGAGUAGUAACACAUGCCUUUCAUCCCAGCCCUUGGGAGGAGGAGGCAAACAGAACCCUAGGCUAUUCUGGUCUACAUAUAGAGUUCUAGGCCAGCCAGAGCUACAUAGUGAGAUAUUGAUUAAAAAAAAUACAAAAGAAUGAAAAUUAUCAUGGAAGUAAAAUAUUUCAUCCAUAUCUGAGCUUAAUCCACAAAGUCUAGGUUAUAGAUAAGAUGUUUGCAUAUGCAGAUUCAAUUUACACUUUUUGUUGAGUAAAAGUGUUUUUCUUCAAAGAGACUUCUAAAUAGAAAAUCUAAUCAGUAAUAACAGUGUUUAGACUCAAGCUGGCUUAUAUCACAAAGCCAAUCAGAUGUUUUGGGGUGCCAGGGGGAUAUAAUUAUUUGGAUUUUAUGUCCUAAACACAAAUUUUAAAUAUAAUUUAAAUCUUACUAAUAUGACUGAAAUUAUAUUUGCCCAUUGCUAGAAAAUGUUUCCUUAAAACUAAAACCAAUGUGAGAGACUGAGUUAUAACAUUCGCUUUGUAAAUGACAAGGACAACGACUCACUAUCUCUCAGUUAAAAAUGCCAAAAUAACACAUCAUAGCAAUAAAUGCUUCUAUAUGAAUAUGUACAAGUAUGCCCACACUGAAGAGGUGAGAAACAGAUCAUGUUGCCACUUGUAUGUUAUAAGCUCAUCAAAAAAGCUAUGCGAAGUCAGAGAAAAUGUUCUCUAUAAAAAUACAUUCUACUAAGCACAUCAGACCUGAAGCAAGCUCCUGUUUAUAAACAGGCUUUCAGUAAUUGGUGACCUACAAUGGUGACUUGACUGGCCUUAGCUGGCAUCAGUUUCCAUUCAUAUGAUGGGUUAGGCUCUCAAGAAGGAAAUGACUUUGGCAUUGUUCAUGAGGCACAGCACGCACCCUAUGGGUGCACAGCAUCUUAGGAAAGGCUGAGUGAGCAGGCAGGCACAAACACAUCUAGAACAGCCGAGUUUACAAUCACUCACUCUCAGGAAGACUGCCAUACCCCCUCUACUCGCAUACAGUUUUCCUUCUGUGGAACUAACCCUUAUCUUUGCAUCUUUGAAACAGUUGACCAUUCCUAGUUGGGUUCAGUGACUUGCUUUGGUCUGCUUCCUUGCCUGAUUCUUCCUCCGCCUCCCAAACACUGAUUAAACACGUGUGCCACCAUGCCUAGUCAUUUUCUGUUCGACAAAUACAUACUGGACAUCACUCAACAAACCAUGGUCCAAACUGAUGCCCGGUGAUUCAGAGAUUUGGGAAAGGAGCAAGGAAACUUAUGGGAGUUAUACUCAUAACUUCCACUAACCCAACAUAACAUAAUAGGAAAGGGGCUCCCUUGGUACACUCAGUGGUGCCUUUAUCAUUCAGUCAGACUACUCAGCUUUCUAAACUUGUUAGACAUUUGGGUUUCUGUUCUGUCUUGAGAGAAGCUCCACCAUGAUUUUGGAGAGGACUGUGCUGGCCAGCCCACCCCUCCCUACCUGCGAGGCCCAUUCUUCAUAGGCAGUGAUUCAAAUGUGUCACAAAAGGAUCUGUGGUAUGAGGAUAGACCCUACUCAACACCAGCUGUUGGUAAGCCAAGGUGGAGGAGGCUGGCCAGUGAAGGUUUCCGUUGCAUGGAGUCUCCUGUUGAUUUUAUUGAUGUAUUUGUGGUCAUGUUCUCGGUGUCCUAGAAGCAGGAUUCAGCGCCUUACACUGAAUGCCAUGUUCACACCUCUGUCUGAACCCUCUUUUUUUUUUGUUUGUUUGUUUCUGUUGUUGCUGUUGUUGUUAUUAUUUGUUUUUUUAAAGACAAGGUUUCUCUGUGCAACCCUGGCUGUCCUGGAACUCAUUCUGUAGACGAGGCUGGCCUCGAACUCAGAAAUCAGCCUGCCUCUGCCUCCCAAGUGCUGGAAUUAAAGGCAUGCACCACCACUGCCCAGCUUGUCUGAACCCUCUUAGCAUAUGGUUCUUUUCAGCAAAGAUUCAGAUCUUUGCAUCUGGACUAGUUCUUCUCAUCUUUUAUUUCCCAGAAGAAUUUUCUCAAGAUCUCCAAAUACCACUCUUUUUUUUUCCUAGAAGAACUAUACAAUAAUUAUGUUUCUCCUUAAAUUUGAUUUGCAGCACAGUUGUGAACAUAAAGAUGGUCUUCAUGGCAUCAUUCACAUAUGUGAAAAUGGGGAAAAAAUGAAAAGGUUGUUAUAUGAUACCCCUCAUUAUAGACAGUUACACAGCCUUUAAAAUGUAUGUCUU